AGCGAACGCUGGCGGCAGGCUUAACACAUGCAAGUCGAGCGGGCACUUUCGGGUGUCAGCGGCGGACGGGUGGGUAACGCGUGGGAACGUGCCCUCUGGUUCGGAAUAACUCAGGGAAACUUGAGCUAAUACCGGAUACGCCCUUUUGGGGAAAGGCUUGCUGCCGGAGGAUCGGCCCGCGUCUGAUUAGCUAGUUGGUGAGGUAACGGCUCACCAAGGCGACGAUCAGUAGCUGGUCUGAGAGGAUGAUCAGCCACACUGGGACUGAGACACGGCCCAGACUCCUACGGGAGGCAGCAGUGGGGAAUAUUGGACAAUGGGCGCAAGCCUGAUCCAGCCAUGCCGCGUGAGUGAUGAAGGCCUUAGGGUUGUAAAGCUCUUUUAUCCGGGACGAUAAUGACGGUACCGGAGGAAUAAGCCCCGGCUAACUUCGUG
rnacentral:rRNA from 1 species